rnacentral:rRNA from 1 species
UCGAGAAUAUUCGACAAUGGGCGAAAGCCUGAUCGAGCGACGCCGCGUGCAGGAUGAAGGACUUUGGUCUGUAAACUGCUUUUCUACGGGAAGAAAAAAAUGACGGUACCGUGGGAAUAAGGGGUUGCUAACCUCGUGCCAGCAGCCGCGGUAAUACGAGGGCCCCGAGCGUUAUCCGGAUUUAUUGGGCGUAAAGAGCGAGUAGAUGGUCCGUUAAGUUUCAUGUCAAAUCCCGGAGCCCAACUCCGGACUCGCAUGGAAUACUGGCGGACUAGAGGGUGCUAGAGGCUACUGGAACUCACGGUGUAGGGGUGAAAUCCGUUGAUAUCGUGGGGAACACCGAAGGCGAAGGCAGGUAGCUGGGGCAUCCCUGACAUUCAAUCGCGAAAGCGUGGGGAUC